UACGAAGGACCCGAGCGUUAUCCGGAUUUAUUGGGUUUAAAGGGUGCGUAGGCGUCCUGGAAAGUUACGGUUGAAAUCUCCUUGCUCAAUAAGGAAACUGGCCGUAAAACUAUCAGGAUUGAGUACAUUUGAAGCGGGCGGAAUGUGUCAUGUAGCGGUGAAAUGCUUAGAUAUGACACAGAACACCAAUUGCGAAGGCAGCUCGCUAAACUGUAACUGACGCUGAGGCACGAAAGCGUGGGGAUCAAACAGG
rnacentral:rRNA from 1 species